AGUGAACGCUGGCGGUAGGCCUAACACAUGCAAGUCGAACGGCAGCACAGUAAGAGCUUGCUCUUACGGGUGGCGAGUGGCGGACGGGUGAGGAAUACAUCGGAAUCUACUUUUUCGUGGGGGAUAACGUAGGGAAACUUACGCUAAUACCGCAUACGACCUACGGGUGAAAGCAGGGGAUCUUCGGACCUUGCGCGAUUGAAUGAGCCGAUGUCGGAUUAGCUAGUUGGCGGGGUAAAGGCCCACCAAGGCGACGAUCCGUAGCUGGUCUGAGAGGAUGAUCAGCCACACUGGAACUGAGACACGGUCCAGACUCCUACGGGAGGCAGCAGUGGGGGAUAUUGGACAAUGGGCGCAAGCCUGAUCCAGCCAUACCGCGUGGGUGAAGAAGGCCUUCGGGUUGUAAAGCCCUUUUGUUGGGAAAGAAAAGCAGCAGGUUAAUACCCCGCUGUUCUGACGGUACCCAAAGAGUAAGCACCGGCUAACUUCGUG
rnacentral:rRNA from 1 species